UACGGAGGGUGCAAGCGUUAUCCGGAUUUACUGGGUUUAAAGGGUGCGUAGGUGGGUAGGUAAGUCAGUGGUGAAAUCUUCGAGCUUAACUCGGAAACUGCCAUUGAUACUAUUUAUCUUGAAUACUUUGGAGGUAAGCGGAAUAUGUCAUGUAGCGGUGAAAUGCUUAGAUAUGACAUAGAACACCCAUUGCGAAGGCAGCUUACUACGCCUAUAUUGACGCUGAGGCACGAAAGCGUGGGGAUCAAACAGG
rnacentral:rRNA from 1 species